CACGUAGGGGGCGAGCGUUGUCCGGAUUUAUUGGGCGUAAAGAGCUCGUAGGCGGCUCAGUAGGUCAGGUGUGAAAACUCCAGGCUCAACCUGGAGACGCCACCUGAUACUGCUGUGGCUAGAGUCCGGUAGGGGAGCAUGGAAUUCCUGGUGUAGCGGUGAAAUGCGCAGAUAUCAGGAGGAACACCAGUGGCGAAGGCGGUGCUCUGGGCCGGAACUGACGCUGAGGAGCGAAAGCGUGGGGAGCAAACAGG
rnacentral:rRNA from 1 species